UACGUAGGGUGCAAGCGUUAAUCGGAAUUACUGGGCGUAAAGCGUGCGCAGGCGGCUUUGCAAGACAGAUGUGAAAUCCCCGGGCUCAACCUGGGAACUGCAUUUGUGACUGCAUCGCUGGAGUGCGGCAGAGGGGGAUGGAAUUCCGCGUGUAGCAGUGAAAUGCGUAGAUAUGCGGAGGAACACCGAUGGCGAAGGCAAUCCCCUGGGCCUGCACUGACGCUCAUGCACGAAAGCGUGGGAGCAAACAGG
rnacentral:rRNA from 1 species